rnacentral:rRNA from 1 species
AUUGAACGCUGGCGGCAUGCCUUACACAUGCAAGUCGAACGGCAGCACGGGAGCAAUCCUGGUGGCGAGUGGCGAACGGGUGAGUAAAGUAUCGGAACGUGCCCAGUCGUGGGGGAUAACGUAGCGAAAGUUACGCUAAUACCGCAUACGAUCUAUGGAUGAAAGCGGGGGGUCGCAAGACCUCGCGCGAUGGGAGCGGCCGAUAUCAGAUUAGGUAGUUGGUGGGGUAAAGGCUCACCAAGCCGACGAUCUGUAGCUGGUCUGAGAGGACGACCAGCCACACUGGGACUGAGACACGGCCCAGACUCCUACGGGAGGCAGCAGUGGGGAAUUUUGGACAAUGGGCGAAAGCCUGAUCCAGCCAUGCCGCGUGCAGGAUGAAGGCCUUCGGGUUGUAAACUGCUUUUGUACGGAACGAAAAGGUUUGGCCUAAUAAGCUGAGCUCAUGACGGUACCGUAAGAAUAAGCACCGGCUAACUACGUGCCAGCAGCCGCAGUAAGAC